rnacentral:rRNA from 1 species
UACGAAGGGUGCAAACGUUGCUCGGAAUUAUUGGGCGUAAAGCGCACGUAGGCGGCUUAGCAAGUCGGAUGUGAAAGCCCUCGGCUCAACCAAGGAAGUGCAUCCGAAACUGCUGAGCUUGAGUACUUAAGAGGAUCGCGGAAUUCCCGGUGUAGAGGUGAAAUUCGUAGAUAUUCGCAAGAACACCGAUAGCGAAGGCAGCUUACUACAUGUUAAUUGACGCUGAGGCACGAAAGCCAGGGGAGCAAACGGG